GUGCAUUGAAUCGGGACGCACAAUUUGGACCCUGGAACGAUCAUUGAAUCUGGACGCCUUCAGGAAAUUUCCUUUUAUUCGUUCUUUUUAUCUGGCAGGAAUUUAAACCAUUGAGCUGGCAGCUGGCAGCUGGCAGCUGGCAGCUGGCAAUGAUCGUAUGGCGGUCGAUUGGAAUGAUUGGAUACGUUCAUGCAUCAAAAAAUAUCGUUUUGAGCUAUUCCAUUUAGUGGUACAAAGAGGUCUUAAUUUAUAUGACUUUAUUAUCAUCCUUGUUGGACCGUAUUUCGUCCAUCC
rnacentral:lncRNA from 1 species